AAGACAAUACUUGCAGGGAUCAUUUCUACAGUAUGUUACUAAAGAAAAACCAUGCAAGGUCAGAACUUUAAUAGUGAUAAUAUAAGGAAGUAAUUCUCUCACCUG
rnacentral:snoRNA from 1 species